rnacentral:rRNA from 1 species
UAACGAAUAUUCCGCAAUGGACGAAAGUCUGACGGAGCAAUGCCGCGUGCAGGAUGAAGCCCCUCGGGGUGUAAACUGCUGUCAGGGUUUACUAAGUUCUGAAGAGACCCAGAGGAAGGGCCGGCUAACUUCGUGCCAGCAGCCGCGGUAAUACGAAGGGCCCGAGCGUUAAUCGGAAUCACUGGGCUUAAAGCGUACGCAGGCGGACAUGCAGGCAUCUUGUGAAAUCCCACCGCUCAACGGUGGAACUGCUCGGUGAACCGCAUGUCUCGAGACAGGUAGGGGCCAUCGGAACGAUAGGUGGAGUGGUGAAAUGCGUUGAUAUCUAUCGGAACGCCAAAGGCGAAGGCAGAUGGCUGGGCCUGUUCUGACGCUCAUGUACGAAAGCGUGGGGAGCGAACGGGAUUAGAUACCCCCGUAGUCC